UGAAUCUUUUCCUUUAAGUCACUUCAGGAACAGCACUACUGGGAAGCAGCAGGAAUCCUCCUGCAAAAGAUGAGGAUUCGUGUCAGGAUGAUACUGCUGAGGAUUCACAGUACAUCAACACAGGUGCUGCUUGUUGCAAACAGGAAAGGUUUUCUCUCUGGUUUUAAGAAAGCACUUCUCUGAAUUGCAAGUUAAAAUAUUGAAAAAUAAAACUAAAAGCUUGACAAGCCUCUAUACUCUCUGAAUCUGUCAUGAACAGGGGCCUUACCCCAUUCAUUGUCCUAGGAAAGAGUCCUGCUGGCUUCAGAAACAUCAAAACAAG